rnacentral:rRNA from 1 species
AUUGAACGCUGGCGGCAGGCCUAACACAUGCAAGUCGAACGGUAACAGGAAGCAGCUUGCUGCUUCGCUGACGAGUGGCGGACGGGUGAGUAAUGUCUGGGAAACUGCCUGAUGGAGGGGGAUAACUACUGGAAACGGUAGCUAAUACCGCAUAACGUCGCAAGACCAAAGAGGGGGACCUUAGGGCCUCUUGCCAUCGGAUGUGCCCAGAUGGGAUUAACUAGUAGGUGGGGUAACGGCUCACCUAGGCGACGAUCCCUAGCUGGUCUGAGAGGAUGACCAGCCACACUGGAACUGAGACACGGUCCAGACUCCUACGGGAGGCAGCAGUGGGGAAUAUUGCACAAUGGGCGCAAGCCUGAUGCAGCCAUGCCGCGUGUAUGAAGAAGGCCUUCGGGUUGUAAAGUACUUUCAGCGGGGAGGAAGGGAGUAAAGUUAAUACCUUUGCUCAUUGACGUUACCCGAAGAAGAAGCACCGGCUAACUCCGUG